rnacentral:rRNA from 1 species
AGUCGAGCGAACGGACGAGAAGCUUGCUUCUCUGAUGUUAGCGGCGGACGGGUGAGUAACACGUGGAUAACCUACCUAUAAGACUGGGAUAACUUCGGGAAACCGGAGCUAAUACCGGAUAAUAUUUUGAACCGCAUGGUUCAAAAGUGAAAGACGGUCUUGCUGUCACUUAUAGAUGGAUCCGCGCUGCAUCAGCUAGAUUGGUAAGGUAACGGCGUUACCAAGGCAACGAGUGCAUAGCCGACCUGAGAGGGUGAUCGGCCACACUGGGACUGAGACACGGUCCAGACUCCUACGGGAGGCAGCAGUAGGGAAUCUUCCGCAAUGGGCGAAAGCCUGACGGAGCAACGCCGCGUGAGUGAUGAAGGUCUUCGGAUCGUAAAACUCUGUUAGUUAGGGAAGAACAUAUGUGUAAGUAACUGUGCACAUCUUGACGGUACCUAAUCAGAAAGCCACGGCUAACUACGUGCCAGCAGCCGCGGUAAUACGUAGGUGGCAAGCGUUAUCCGGAAUUAUUGGGCGUAAAGCGCGCGUAGGCGGUUUUUUAAGUCUGAUGUGAAAGCCCACGGCUCAACCGUGGAGGGUCAUUGGAAACUGGAAAACUUGAGUGCAGAAGAGGAAAGUGGAAUUCCAUGUGUAGCGGUGAAGUGCGCAGAGAUAUGGAGGAACACCA